GAAACACCCUUAUGGGGCAGGACUUGCUUCAGUGGGACUUUGGUACUCACUGAGUCUGCCCCCUGAGUGUAUCUCU
rfam:Myotis lucifugus cont2.8794, whole genome shotgun sequence.